rnacentral:lncRNA from 1 species
GUCUCCUCCCCUCACCCUGUUCCCCGCACCGGCAGAGCGGGCAGCUCCCGAGGCUCGUACCGGAACUGUGGCCUUCUCCCGGGACUUGGAGGACCGCCUCGGCUGAGGAAGUGACCGAGAGAAGAGAGUGGACAGGACUCACGGAAACACUCGAGAAGAUUCUCUCAGUGCCAUCCCCAGAGUGGCUGUGAUAGGAUAAGCCAAGUAAGGGUGAUGUGGAAACCGUUGUUCCAAGUUAAUGGUGAUCGCGGAUAAGAAUUGUUUUGUGUUUCUGUUGUUGAGACAGGGAGGGCAUCACUGUGUAACCCAGGCUUGCUUGGAACUCUUUCGUGGAGCAGUUUCGAACUUGAGAUUCACCUGCUCCUUGAGUCUCUCAAGUGCUGAGAGUAAAGGUGUGUGCCACCACACCCAGUUGGCUAAGACCUUUUAAUUUGUGUCUUAAUUUUUCACCUUGGCUGAUAUUUUUCCUGACCUUGAAGGGGAUGUCAACGGCCUGGACAGCAACGUUGAAAGAAUUGUGGGUACGGUGAGGAGAAAAGUGAAGUAAAAGAGAGCACCCCAGAAAACUCUGAUGAAAAAAGUCAGGAAAUCCUGAUAGCUGAAGAAAAAUAAAAUGAAGAGACGAGAGAUAGAAGAAAGAUUGCCGAUAUUCCCAGAUUCGAUGGAAGAAUGAAAAAAGGAGAAAUAAAACAGAUACUUGGACUUGGGAUGUUGAAGCAGGAGGAUGAGCGAUUGUUAUGCAGCCGGGUGGAAGCCAGCCUAGAAUAAAGUGUGAGAAUGAAAAAAAACACAUAAUGACAGACAUAAUGCAGAGUCAAACUGGCUGGUCACACACAGUUCAGAUUUCAUUGAUAAGACUGACGGAAUCCGUUUAAUAUUGUUACUACCUAAGGCUUCUUUCCAGUUACAGUCAUUCUGAGAACAUUGCACU